AUGGCAAUGGUCAGUAUAUAAGAUCCUUACGCUGAGGAAAUAGAGACAUUACAACAAAUCCACACAGCAGAAGAAUAUCUUUGGUAAUUCGCUGGAAAGGAAAUCAUGAAGUUGAUUGUUGCUGUACUAGUGUGUCUGUGUCUGUCCGGAAUGGUAGUGAGCCAGGGAAGAUUGGGAUCCUUUAUUGCAGGAGGGUUGAUCGGUCGCGCUCUUGGGAGAGGUAGGGGUGGUUACCACGGCUACUAUCCAAGGCCCUUCUACGGAGGAUAUGGAGGGGGAUACGGGGGAUACGGGGGACACGGGGGAUACAGACGCCCAUACUAUGGGUAAACUCUCCUGAGCGACACUGGAUAAUAACAGAGUUUACGAACGAUCACCAGUACCCAUAUUACCCAAAGGAGUACGGACAACAUGUUAAAUGCAAUGCAUAUAUAAUCGGACCUUUUUUCUUUGUUCUGUGAAAUGUUUUAAUCAAUAAAUAUUUAU